UCUGGAUUUCAUUCGGCGUUGACCCACCCCAUAGGUUACUUCGCAUAGCACAUUUAAAAAUUGGACAUGGUUUUUGGACAACUCUAGGGCACAAAUGGAAAGGAUGAUGAUCUCCUGCUAAAAUAGAGACUAAAUAAAAAUGUGUCGGUAGCAGAAUUCAGUUGGUUUUGAGAAACAGCAAAAGCUUGAAGAAUGAUUCAGAUUUGACGAUUUUGUAGCAAAAGCAGCACUGUAUGAUUGUAAUUAUGUAGAUACAUUCUCGAUAAAUGGAGAAGCCACUUGGAUAGUUUGGAGAUGUAAAUGUGCCAGUGGAUUCAAAGAAUUCCUUCCUACAUACUGUGUUAACUUUGUGGGAGAGGACUGCCAGUCCAAUAACUAUCUGAGGGCAUCCAUGUUUACAGCUGAUGCUCUACUGUCAUUUUCUCUAACCUGGCACCUUCAACGUCAAACUCAAACUACUCACUAAUGAAAGAUUUCUAUAUGAGUUUACUGAACUGUCAUCAAGUAAAUCAGUAAAGAGAACAAGAAUGAGAACUCAGAUUUCAAGUGCGAGCAGGUGUUGUUUAUUGUCCUUCCAUUUUACACCCUUAACUGAAGUGUCCAGCAGCCAUGAUGUCAGAAGGACAAUCUUCAAACAGAGCAAAUGACUCAAGAGAAUCAAAAUAUUAUGCAAUGACCGUGGAAAUAAUAUUCACAUAAAUGGCUGAGGUAUUGAUUAAUGAAAGGAUUCUUACACCUGCAAAAUAAUGCUAUAACCUUUGUUUGGGUUGCAGAUCCAACAGCUAAAGCUCUAAGAAGUCUUAUAAAAUGGCUUUGGGAGUGGCAGCUCCCAAUACUGCAUCAGAUGUUUUCUCAGAAUUUUGUACGAAACUAAAGAGAACGCAGCUUGAGUACUGCAUACAGUUCUGGUCACUACAUUACAGGAAAGAAUUACCUGCUUUGGAGAAGGUGUAGAGGAAGUUUAUAAAAGUAUUGCUGAGACUAACAGAACCUUAGCUAUGAGAUGCACUUGAAUAAAUCAAGUUAUUUUCCUUGCAACAAAGAAUGCUGAAGGAGGAUUUAAAUUGGUUUUAUAAAUUAUAAGGUGUGUAAAAACGAUGGAACUCUUUCUCUAAAUAUAGGGGUGAAAACCAACAAAUAGCUUUCAAAUACACUUGGUAGAAGAGAAAUUAGGAAAUAUUUUUCUUCCCACAGAAAGGGUGACUGGGGUCUAGAUCUCACUAACAGAAAGUGUAGCAGAGAUAGAAGCCCGCUCAUACUUAAAAUAAACACUUAGAAGUUAUUAUCUGCAGUACUGGAUUAGGCUGAGGGUCUGUUUUUGACUUACAGAACUGUAAAUCUAUUAUGGUUCUGUGAUUUUAUAAUCAUAUUUACAGUCCUGAUAUCAUUAAGACAAUAGACUUUGUCAUUACACAUAUUAUUAAAAUCCCUGAGAUCACGUCAAACUCCAAGGUUACAGUAAGAUGUCAAUAUGCCUCAGGGGAGUAGCAAUCAACUUGCAUACUUCCAAGCUGCUCUAAUUCCUCUGCGUUACAACAUUUGCAAUCCUUGAAGUGUCAUGUUUCAGAAUACAGGAAAUUUGUACAUCUGGGAUAAGAUGCAACAGAACAUUCCAGAAUGAAAAUGAUGCAACCACCCAUGUUGCAGUUGUGCACUGUGAAAUAUUCCUCACCAUGACCUCGCCCUGCCUGUCACAUAUUGUCUGGUUCUCAUUUGCAGUGUUUCAUUGUUGGCCUCUAAGGAAAGGCUAAUGUGAGAUCAGGUCUCCCUCACCACAUGAUCAGACAAAGGUUCAUGUAGUUCAGGAUUUCAUGAUUGUUUUUAUAUUUUAUCUGACAACAGGUUAGUCCAGCUUGUAAUCUAAAAAAGUGUUCAUCUAAUCUUGUCAAGGUGAUGUCAUUAUAUUAAUAUAAUAAAUGUUCCUUUGUUGCCAAUUGGAUCCUUGAAUAUAUAGGUGCAUAAAACACAAAACUACAGCAAAUGCUGAUUAUUAAGCAACAUUAUAAAUUUUGUAUUGUGAAACAAAGAGGCAUCUUCUGAAAAUUGACAAAUAGAAAUCAAUAGAAUAAAAACAACAUGAAGUUAAUAAGAAAGCCAGUUUCUUUUAUGGUAUAAAAGAAAAUUAGAUUUUCUCCCUGUUUUAUCUUGCAGAAAUAGAAGAUGCAUUUUUAAGGUGCAUUUUUAGCAUAACACCCUAUUGAUAAAGUAGGCAGAAUUCUCAGUGAAUCCUUUUAUUUGUCUUAAAAGAGUUAACUAUUUUUAUUUUCUAGAAAGAUUACUAAAGUGGAAGUAAUGAUUGGUUAGAUUUAGUCAAUUUUUGAAAUUAUGCACAUUACAACUGCAGUCAAACUGACAUGAUAUCAGAGAUAGAAUCUCACCAUUUGGAUCUAAAUGAAAGAUUACUGUACUUGCAUUAAGGCCUAAACAAAAAAGAUGUAAAAAAAAAAUUUCAAAGUUUCCCUGGUGAGCUAAUAUAAUCCAUAUUUCAUUAAUUUAAUCCACAAUAUUAAACCAGAGUGGGCACGUGGCCAAGUGGUUAAGGCAUUGGACUAGUUACCUGAAGGUCGUGAGUUCGAGCCCCAGCUGAGGGAACAUGUUGUGUCCUUGAGCAAGGCACUUAAUCACAAAUUGCUCUGCGACGACACUGGUGCCAAGCUGUAUGGGUCCUAAUGCCCUUCCCUUGGACAACAUUGGUGUCGUAGAGAGGGGAGACUUGCAGCAUGGGCAACUGCUGGUCUUCCAUACAAUCUUGCCCAGGCCUGUGCCCUGGAGAGUGAAGACUUUCUAGGCGCAGAUCCAUGGUCUCACAACACUAACGGAUGCCUUUAUAUUAAACCAUCAUUGACCAUAAGUGCAUUAAAGACUCAAAUAUCAAGCACAUACUACAGAGUUUGGAAUAUGUUAGAGUAAAACACAAAAGCUGUUAUCGUCAAUACAUUACUGUGAUUGAAACAAAUCAAAAUUGCAAAUAAUUUUGAAAAUAAUCUUAUCAAUGCAUUUUUCUGAAAUAUUAAAUCAACUUUUAAUGAAUGAUAAUGCUGAUUUGAGCAUGAGUCAAGUCACGAGAAUUUUCUGAAAAACUUUCAAAGGAAUAUUAAUUACCAUUAUAUGUUUGCUGUACAAUGACACGCACCAUUAUUCCAAUAAAGAGGCUCACCAAAAUCUUCGUACAGAUUAAGGACAGGCAAGGCUGUCUCAUUUCCCCAAUGUUCUUCUCAAUAUUACUUGCUAGAAUCAUGUACUAUACCUUCAGCAUGCCCCACUGAAAAUAAUAUGUACAGUAAUAAAAAACUGUUGCACCCACUCUAGUGCCAAGACUAUCCAAGUCUCAGUCAGUGAUUCACAGAAUAUUUAUGGCACUUACAAAUGUGUAUUCUUGGAAAUCAACCAUCAAGAGCCUGGUAAUUCUUUUGCUGAUGUAGACAAGAGGAUGGGUAUUAUGGUGAAAAUCUUGAAGACAGAAGGUCUCCACCAACCUGCCCUUACUUCAAAAUAACUGCUCCCAAAUCAAGGUUAAUGGCAAGACUCUGGUAAACUCCAAUGUCUUUCGAUAUAUUAGGAGCUAUCCCUCAGUAAAAGCAGUUUCCAUUGAAAAACAUCACCACAUCCUCCAAUGCCCCCACACAACCUACGACUUAUUUAAGGAAAGGAGUGUUUUACUCUAUUGGGAUUAUUCUAUAGGCCCCCUGGUAGCAGCAGAGAUACCGAGGAGCAGAUUGGGAGGCAGAUUUUGGAAAGGUGCAAAAAUAACAGGGUUGUUAUCAUGGGUGACUUUAACUUCCCUAUAUUGAUUGGCACCUGAUUAGUUCCAAGGGUUUGGACGGGGCAGAGUUUGUUAAGUGUGUCCAGGACAGAUUCUUGUCACAGUAUGUUGACAGACCGACUAAGGGAAAUGCCAUACUAGAUCUAGUAUUAGGUAAUGAACCGGGUCAGGUCACAGAUCUCUCAGUGGGUGAGCAUCUGGGGGACAGUGACCACCGCUCCCUGGCCUUCAGCAUUAUCAUGGAAAAGGAUAGAAGCAGAGAGGACAGGAAAAUUUUUAAUUGGGGAAGGGCAAAUUAUGAGGCUAUAAGGCUAGAACUUGCGGGUGUGAAUUGGGAUGAUGUUUUUGCAGGGAAAUGUACUAUGGACAUGCGGUCGAUGUUUAGAGAUCUCUUGCAGGAUGUUAGGGAUAAAUUUGUCUCGGUGAGGAAGAUGAAGAAUGGUAGGGUGAAGGAACCAUGGGUGACAAGUGAGGUGGAAAAUCUAGUCAGGUGGAAGAAGGCAGCAUACAUGAGGUUUAGGAAGCAAGGAUCAGAUGGGUCUAUUGAGGAAUAUAGGGUAGCAAGAAAGGAGCUUAAGAAGGGUCUGAGAAGAGCAAGAAGGGGGCAUGAGAAGGCAUUGGCGAGUAGGGUAAAGGAAAAUCCCAAGGCAUUCUUCAAUUACGUGAAGAACAAAAGGAUGACAGGAGUGAAGGUAGGACCAAUCACAGAUAAAGGUGGGAAGAUAUGCCUGGAGGCUGUGGAAGUGAGCGAGUUCCUCAAUGAAUACUUCUCUUCAAUAUUCACCAAUGGGAGGAAAUUUGAUGAGGGUGAGGACAAUAUGAGUGAGGUUGAUGUACUGAAGCAUGUUGAUAGUAGAAGGCAGAGGAGGUGUUGGAGUUAUUAAAAUACAUUAGGACGGAUAAGUACCAGGGGCCUGACGGAAUAUUCCCCAGGCUGCUCCACGAGGCGAGGGAAGAGAUCGCAGAGCCUCUGGCUAGGAUCUUUAUGUCCUCAUUGUCGAUGGGAAUGGUACCGGAGGAUUGGAGGGAGGCGAAUAUUGUCCCCUUGUUCAAAAAAGUAGUAGGGAUAAUCUAGGUAAUUAUAGACUAGUGAGCCUUACAUCUGUGAUGGGAAGGCUGUUGGAAAAGAUUCUUAGAGAUAGGAUCUAUGGGUAUUGUCACAAGAAUACACAUAGAUAAGAUGUUAGCUGUCCUGUGUGAUCAGCAGUUGGUCUGCCACCUGUCUUCAAGAAAGAGAUAAGGAACACAAUGAAACAGCAUCUGGAGAUGUGUAAUGAAAGGACGGGAGAGAGAGAGCUGUCUGGAGCGGCUCCCCCUUUGAACCCUGAACUGUUUGAAGUGAUGGACAGGUGAUACCCCAGCAGGGGGAUAAAAAGGGACAGGUUCGCUAAGGCAGGACAUACGACGCCCGAGGUAACGAGACCCUGGAAGCGGUGCGCCUCUCACGAGUCGGUGGGAAGUACCGGACCUUAAACGCACAGGGUGGAAAGGUACGAUCAGCAGGAACCUGGUGUGUGUCCACCCUCGCUUGGGUGCCGGGUUCACUGCAGAGGAUCGACCACAUCUGGAGGAGAGGUCACAGUCGGUGACCUCAGGUGACAUCACCAAGGACCUGCCUUGUGAGAAAUAUCGCCGGUCUGUGCGUGGAAGCCGUGUCUGAAUGAUCAGUCGUUCCCGUUCUCUCUCUCCCUCCCCACCACGUUGUCCAUCAUCAUGGCAACGAUUACUGCGAACUGAACUACAAAAUUGGACUGAAUUUUGUGUCACUUUGAAAUUGGUCAUUUACCCCUAGACAACGAUAGAGCUUAAUUAAUGCUGUUAUCUUAAUUCUGUGCACAUGUGUAUUUAUCAUUGCUGAACUGUUGCAUUUAUUAUCCUUUCGAUUACUGUGUUGCUUGUUUCUUUAAUAAAACUUUCUUAGUUCUAGUAAUCCAGACUCCAACUGAGUGAUCCAUUUCUGCUGGUUUGGCAACCCAGUUACGGGGUACGUAACAGUAUUUAGAGAAUCAUGGUCUGAUCAGGGACAGUCAGCAUGGCUUUGUGAAGGGCCGAUCAUCCUGAUAAUAAGCCUGAUAGAGUUCUUUGAGGAGGUGACCAGGCAUAUA